rnacentral:rRNA from 1 species
UGGCGGACGGGUGAGUAACGCGUGGGUAACCUGCCUCAUACAGGGGGAUAACAGUUAGAAAUGACUGCUAAUACCGCAUAAGACCACAGCACCGCAUGGUGCAGGGGUAAAAACUCCGGUGGUAUGAGAUGGACCCGCGUCUGAUUAGGUAGUUGGUGGGGUAACGGCCUACCAAGCCGACGAUCAGUAGCCGACCUGAGAGGGUGACUGGCCACAUUGGGACUGAGACACGGCCCAA